UACGUAGGGUGCGAGCGUUGUCCGGCAUCAUUGGGCGUAAAGCGCGCGUAGGGGGCCCCGUAAGUCCGCUGUGAAAGUCAAAGGCUCAACCUUUGAAAGCCGGUGGAUACUGUGGGACUAGAGUACGGAAGAGGCGAGUGGAAUUCCUGGUGCAGCGGUGAAAUGCGCAGAUAUCAGGAGGAACACCGGUGGCGAAGGCGGUUCUCUGGGAAUAUCCUGACGCUGAGAAGCGAAAGCAUGGGGAGCGAACAGG
rnacentral:rRNA from 1 species